rnacentral:rRNA from 1 species
GAGAUCGGGAUAACACCUGGAAACAGAUGCUAAUACCGGAUAACAACAGAUGAUGCCUAUCAACUGUUUAAAAGAUGGUUCUGCUAUCACUCUUGGAUGGACCUGCGGUGCAUUAGCUAGUUGGUAGGGUAACGGCCUACCAAGGCGAUGAUGCAUAGCCGAGUUGAGAGACUGAUCGGCCACAUUGGGACUGAGACACGGCCCAAACUCCUACGGGAGGCAGCAGUA